AUUGAACGCUGGCGGCAUGCUUUACACAUGCAAGUCGAACGGCAGCACGGGGGCAACCCUGGUGGCGAGUGGCGAACGGGUGAGUAAUGCAUCGGAACGUGCCCUGUCGUGGGGGAUAACACAUCGAAAGAUGUGCUAAUACCGCAUACGACCUGAGGGUGAAAGCGGGGGACCGUAAGGCCUCGCGCGAUAGGAGCGGCCGAUGUCUGAUUAGCUGGUUGGUGGGGUAAAGGCCUACCAAGGCGACGAUCAGUAGCUGGUCUGAGAGGACGCCCCGCCACGCGGGGACGGAGAAACGGCGCAGUCUCACACUAGACGCAGCAGUGGGGAGUUUGCGACAGUGGGGGGAACCAUGAACCGGCCAUGCCGCGUGCGGGAAGAGGGCCUGCGGGUUGUAACCCGCUUUUGGCAGGAACGAAACGGUGCGGGCGAAUACCCUGUGCUGAUGACGGUACCUGCAGAAUAAGCACCGGCUAACUACGUGCCAGCCGCCGUCGUAACAC
rnacentral:rRNA from 1 species